GCCCUGAAUCAGCGUGGAGAGGACGUCUUCUCCCCUAUGGGUGGGUUUAUUUCCAAGCACUGGGGGGGCUUUUUUGUGUUUCUUUAUUUCAGCAGGCCCAGUCAGAGCAACAUAAACCCUUUUAUUUACUCAUUUUUUAAAUAA